AGCCAAGUGGUUUAAGGGGUUGGGUGAUGUCCUGCAAGACCAGGGUUCAAAUCCCUGCUUGGCCA